rnacentral:misc_RNA from 1 species
GCGGAGGAAAAGAAACCAACAGGGAUUGCCUCAGUAACGGCGAGUGAAGCGGCAACAGCUCAAAUUUGAAAUCUGGCCUCACGGUCCGAGUUGUAAUUUGUAGAGGAUGUUUCGAGCAUGGUCCGGCCUAAGUGUCUUGGAACAGGACGUCAUAGAGGGUGAGAACCCCGUAUGCGGUCGGGUGCCUACGCUCAUGUGAAACUCCUUCGACGAGUCGAGUUGUUUGGGAAUGCAGCUCAAAAUGGGUGGUAAAUUUCAUCUAAAGCUAAAUAUUGGCCAGAGACCGAUAGCGCACAAGUAGAGUGAUCGAAAGAUGAAAAGCACUUUGGAAAGAGAGUUAAACAGUACGUGAAAUUGUUGAAAGGGAAGCGCUUGCAACCAGACUUGGGCGCGGCCGAUCAUCCGGUGUUCUCACCGGUGCACUCGGUCGCGUGCAGGCCAGCAUCGGUUCUGGUGGCUGGAUAAAGGCCCUAGGAAUGUGGCUCCUCUCGGGGAGUGUUAUAGCCUAGGGUGCAAUGCAGCCUACCGGGACCGAGGACCGCGCUUCGGCUAGGAUGCUGGCGUAAUGGUUGUAAGUGACCCGUCUUGAAACACGGACCAAGGAGUCUAACAUCUAUGCGAGUGUUUGGGUGUCAAACCCAUACGCGUAAUGAAAGUGAACGGAGGUGAGAACCCUUAAGGGUGCAUCAUCGACCGAUCCUGAUGUCUUCGGAUGGAUUUGAGUAUGAGCAUAGCUGUUGGGACCCGAAAGAUGGUGAACUAUGCCUGACUAGGGUGAAGCCAGAGGAAACUCUGGUGGAGGCUCGCAGC